ensembl:lncRNA
GAUCCCCCCCGGUCCCUCAGGUCCCCCCGGCACCCCCGAGCUCUGCUGCCACCCCAAAUCCGCGGGCCUCAAACCCACCCGAGGGGAGCCCCCCCAGAUUUUACUGCACCCCCAAAAUUACACCUUUAAUCCUCUUCCUCCUCCUCCUCCUCCUCCCCCCGCCCUCAGUCCGCCUGCCCACAGACAGCCGGGGCCGGCUGGAGGUGGAAAACAGGCCCGAGCGAGGCUGGGAAAAGGGGAAAAACAGGGAAAAAAUAACAAAAAAAGGGACAAAAAAAUAAGGGAGAGAGGAUAAAAGGAGGGUCAGAUUAAAAUAAAUAAAAAAGAAAAAAAAAGAAGGGGAAAAGGAAGACGAGAGAAGCAAAGGAGGAGCGCGAAGGAAUAAAAAAGGAUUAAAGAAGGGGAACGGAGGGAAAAGCAGGAAAAAAAAGAAGAAACAGAAAGAAAGAAAAGGGAAUAAAGGAGGAAAGAAGAAGGAAAAAAGCAGGAGAAAAGGGGUUUCCAGAGGGCCCAAGACCAAGAUUUGGGGCUCAGAAGAUUCCUGGGCUCAGAUUUGGGAUGUGGCUGCUCCUGGACAGACCCCGAGCGUUCCCAGGAGCCUGAUCCGGAAGGUCCCAUGGAGCAGCAGGGGACAACUCCGGCCACUCCCGGCGGCGAGGGGACCCCCCAGCCCCCCGAGGGUGGGGACGGGAUUCCUGGUGUUGGGGACACAGUUCCCGCUGUUGGGGACACAAUUUCAGGUGUUGGGGACACAAUUCUCACUGUUGGGGACACAGUUCCCACUGUUGGGGACACAGUUCCCGGUGUUGGGGACACAGUUGCUGCUGUUGGGGACACAGUUCCCACUGUUGGGGACACAGUUCCAGGUGUUGGGGACACAGUUCCCGCUGUUGGGGACACAGUUCCCGCUGUUGGGGACACAGUUGCUGCUGUCAGCUGGGAGAGCCCCGCUCCGGCCGGGGA